rnacentral:rRNA from 1 species
UUACUUCGGUACAUCGGUGACAGGUGGUGCAUGGUUGUCGUCAGCUCGUGUCGUGAGAUGUUGGGUUAAGUCCCGCAACGAGCGCAACCCCUAUUGUUAGUUGCCAUCAUUCAGUUGGGCACUCUAGCGAGACUGCCGGUAAUAAACCGGAGGAAGUGGGGAUGACGUCAAAUCAUCAUGCCCCUUAUGACCUGGGCUACACACGUGCUACAAUGGUUGGUACAACGAGUUGCGAGUCGGUGACGGCGAGCUAAUCUCUUAAAGCCAAUCUCAGUUCGGAUUGUAGGCUGCAACUCGCCUACAUGAAGUCGGAAUCGCUAGUAAUCGCGGAUCAGCACGCCGCGGUGAAUACGUUCCCGGGCCUU